rnacentral:snRNA from 1 species
GAGUGUUAUAGCUUUUUGAAAUUCAUCUAGCAGGUUUUCCAAUUUUUAUUGGAAACCCCCC